rnacentral:rRNA from 1 species
GACGAACGCUGGCGGCAGUGCCUAACGCAUGCAAGUCGAACGAGACCUUCGGGUCUAGUGGCGCACGGGUGCGUAACGCGUGGGAAUCUGCCCUUGGGUUCGGAAUAACUCGCCGAAAGGCGUGCUAAUACCGGAUGAUGUCGUAAGGCCAAAGAUUUAUCGCCCAGGGAUGAGCCCGCGUAAGAUUAGGUAGUUGGUGAGGUAAAGGCUCACCAAGCCGACGAUCUUUAGCUGGUCUGAGAGGAUGAUCAGCCACACUGGGACUGAGACACGGCCCAG